CCUACGGGAGGCAGCAGUGGGGAAUAUUGGACAAUGGGCGAAAGCCUGAUCCAGCAAUGCCGCGUGAGUGAUGAAGGCCUUCGGGUCGUAAAGCUCUUUUACCAGGGAUGAUAAUGACAGUACCUGGAGAAUAAGCUCCGGCUAACUCCGUGCCAGCAGCCGCGGUAAUACGGAGGGAGCUAGCGUUGUUCGGAAUUACUGGGCGUAAAGAGUACGUAGGCGGUUAUUCAAGUCAGAGGUGAAAGCCCGGGGCUCAACCCCGGAACUGCCUUUGAAACUAGAUAACUAGAGUCUUGGAGAGGUUAGUGGAAUUCCGAGUGUAGAGGUGAAAUUCGUAGAUAUUCGGAAGAACACCAGUGGCGAAGGCGACUAACUGGACAAGUACUGACGCUGAGGUACGAAAGCGUGGGGAGCAAACAGGAUUAGAUACCCUGGUAGUCCACGCCGUAAACGAUGAUAACUAGUUGUUCGGUCACUUGGUGACUGAGUGACGCAGCUAACGCAUUAAGUUAUCCGCCUGGGGAGUACGGUCGCAAGAUUAAAACUCAAAUGAAUUGACGGCUGAGAGNGCGAGACGACGACGAGGGAGAG
rnacentral:rRNA from 1 species